GACAGAGGGGGCAAGCGUUAUCCGGAAUUACUGGGCGUAAAGCGUCCGUAGGCGGUCUGACAAGUCAGGGGUUAAAGCCCGGAGCCUAACUCCGGAUCGGCCCUGGAAACUGCCAGUCUAGAGUAAGGUAGGGGUUGCGGGAAUUCCCGGUGUAGCGGUGAAAUGCGUAGAUAUCGGGAAGAACACCAGUGGCGAAAGCGCGCAACUGGGCCAUUACUGACACUGAGGGACGAAAGCUAGGGGAGAAAAUGGG
rnacentral:rRNA from 1 species